UCCCCGGGGCUACCUUGGCUGUCCGGCCCCGCAGGGGACAUGUCACCCGGGGAGGGAUGCAGGAAUGUCACCGGGGGAUGGAGGGAUGAAGGAGAUUUUGGGGGGGGGGGGAUGCAGCCAUGUCACCCACAGGGAUGCACCCCCGGUGUCACCCAGCCGGGGUGUCAAGCGUGCACACGUGUGAGCUCCAGCAGCGCUUUUGCCCACCCACGCUGCUGGUGCAAGAAAUCGUCCCCACGUCACUGUUUUGCCCGGGAGCCACCGGCUCCGCUGCCGUCCGUCCGGUGAUGCUCUGGGGGCUGGUACGACUCGCUGCUGCGGUACAACCUCAUGGAGGUCAUCACAGUCACCCUUGGGAGGAGCAGGGACAGGGCAGGGAUCCCUGCGGGUCCCGAGGAUGCACUCAUGGCCUGUUUCUUCACCUUCUCCCCCACUGCUUUAAACCCCAAAAGCCACAGGGUCACCCAGAGCUCUCUGCUCGGGGCCGUCGGGGCCCGUUCCCGUCCCUGCUGCCGCGUGCUUGAUCACGAAGCUGCAGCAGAGGCAUCUGCCAGGUGCUGCAGUGGCUCUUCUCGGGAUGAUGUGAUCUUCUCCUGCACCCAGGCUGGUCCAGCGAGACAAAACACGGCACAGGGAAGGCAGCGCGGGGCUGAGCCCCUCUAGCGCAUCUCUUCCCUGGGAGAUGCUCUUUGCUUGAGCAGCACAAACUGCUGCAGGCUGGGAAACAGCAAACCCAGCACCCUUCAGUUUAAAUACUUUUUUUUUUUUCCCCUAUAAGCAUAGGUUGCCAUGCUUGGACACGGGCCUGCAGCAUCAGAGUGCUGAGGAUGUUUCUCAGUGAUAGGAGCAGGCUCUCCUGCCCUUGAGCCAGUCCUUCUCACAGGAAAGCCUUUGCCCUUUGUGCAGGUGCAGCUUUUUUUUUGGAAAGCAGCCGAGCGCUGCUGGCCUUUGCAGGACGGUGCAGUCCUCAGAGACCUGCCUGCACCGCAGCCCUGCGCUGCAGCUUGGGGGGCCGGGCAAGGAAGACCUGGGUUUGGGGAAGGAGGGGGGGGAAGAGCCGUCUUUUUUGCCUUGCAGCUGUGGGCUGGAUGCAGAGCGGGGCUGGACCGACCGUGAGCAUCCAGCCAGUGACCCCAUUUUUUUGACAUGUCGGUGUUUGGGACAUUUUUCUGAGACAUCAAAGAUGUUGGUGUACAACCACGUCCCAGAUGUUGAAGGCUUGGUGGCCCAGCUGCUCCCAUGGUGACGGUGGUGUUGUCAAGGGAGAAAGUGAAAGGUCACUUCUCCAUGGCCUAAAUUGGAAAGCAAAGUCCAGAGAAAGUUUCCGUGUGUGUGUGUGGACAGCAGCAGAGCACCAGAGAGGAGUUAGAGAAAAAAAAAAACAUCAUAUAGGUAAAUCGGUGGUGAUCACCACCUGAGAGUCAGUGGGUUCACAGGGGAGACCCCCUAAAGCCCAUCCGGGGGGGCUUAAAUGGCCUCAUCCUGCAAAGAGGCUGGUGGCUGCCAGCGUGUGUAGAGAUCCUGGGCAGGCACAGAGCCCCAGCAACAAGCACAGAUGGGUUUUCCAGUCCAUUAAUAAAGGUCUGUAAAUGCUCAGCCUUACUGAUCAAUACAGUUUCUAUUCCAAGGCUGUGAAACAACAGUCAGAAACGGAGCGAAGGACAUUAUUUAAACAUAAUAAAAGAGAGAGAGGGAGCCAGCCAGCAAGCACCCAAGCUCAGCAUUGACCCCUUGUCUUUUUCAGCCGCAGCAGUUAACCAUUUGCAAUCCCUCAAUUAUACUUUAACAUGCUUUUAUCUUUCUCCGCGCCACCGGGAAAGGCUGACGACCAGCCGCCGGCGCAGCCCUGCUCCGUGCUCGGCUCCGGCCGGGGCCGCAGCGAGCGUUCGGGUCCAGCUGGCGCCCGGACAGACGCCACCAGCUCGAGCAAACAGAGCUAAAAGCCGCUUCCCUGGCUCCUGGGAAUGGCUACUGUCAAUAUUUGCACGAGAGAGUCAGGCUCUGCGUGUCUUCAGGGGUUUGGAGAGCUUGGUUAUGGCCUGUAGAGAAUAGCUGGGGAAAAAAAAAAAUCUGUGUCAUGGGGUUAAGGAGGUGAAAAGAUGCCGUAACUUCAGCGCUCGUGGGGCUCAAGGCAAGGUUGGUGGGCAUCCCAGUCCCUACCCCAGGCUGAUGCUGCGGUGGGCACAGCCGCCUGCCCCAAUGGGUCGGGGCUUCCCGGUGCCCCGGCUCCCCACGAGCAGCAGCAGCUAUUUCAAAGCCUGGCUUUGCUUUUUUGGGUGCUGAUGCUUCUCCUCCAUGUUCAGCCUUUCCUUCCCCCAGCAAAGCACAG